CAGAGGUAAGGCGGGAAAUUUUCAAAUUACGUCAAAAGUUCGGAUUGAAAGUAAACACCUGGGAAUUGACGCUGCAGCCCAUAUAUUUUACAAGAUCCCAAGCUGUGACACCACCUGCAUUACACACCCUUAACCAAUGGCUGUGACAUCACCAAAGGUGAGCAUCUAACAGUUUGAAGGAGCAUCUGCAGCUAAAUCUGGAGAGGGAACCUCGGGAGGAUUGCAUGUAGUUAAACUGUCAGGAUAAUGGAGCACUGACACAUUUUGGAGCAACAUCUGAUUAAUUCCCCAAAGAGCUAUAAAAGAGGUAUGUUAAUCCAACAGCAGGUCAUGAUUAUUAUUCUCUGCGAUAAAAAUAAAAAAGCUUUAUCUUUCUCAUGUGUUUGUUAGACUUUAACUAAAGCUUAUCCAACACUGAAUCUUCAUAUACAGUCCAAAUUAUUUGAAAGUGUUUACUUAGUUACUUUGGAAGUUUGUUUGGAGGGUGUUUUUGUUAGUCUGUUUUUUUUAUUGCACUCAGUGUGACAAUAGAGGCUUUAAGAGGCCUAUUAUAGAGUUAUUCGCCUAUUAAACAGCUUUUAUGGGUUGUCAGUGGGAGCAUAUAUUUGAGUUGUAAGCUCCUACUCUGCCUUCAGGUCAUCUCUUGGUAAAAGGAAAAGCCCACAUUUGUAAAAGGGCUGUGACACCUUUAGUGGCCAUGGUAAUUAUGAUAUGAGACAAGCAAAAGAGUGGGUCAGAUAAUGAUGACCUAUAAAUGAGAAGGUCCAAAUCAUAACGUCAUUGGGGUUAAUUGCUUGGUCGAAACAAAUAAAGAACUUUGAGAUAGGAAAUUGGAG